UGGGCACUCCAGGGAACCGGUGGCGCCCUAACUCCAGAGGGAGCCGGGAGGAGGAGAGAGGCUAUCGAGAAGCGUCUUCUCAGAGGGGGCCGCGGCAGCGGCAUUAAAGGAGAGGAAAUACAACGGCUGCACUUCGCCUCCAAGCGUUAGACUGACUUAUAUGCGCGCUCCCAGUAGCGAGAACCGACCUCCCCGAGAGAACAUGUGCGGGAAAAGUGGAGAAAGGAGGGCCCUCAUCUUUUUCUAAUCAUUCCCAUCCGCUCCAGAGAGCUAGGCACCUGCUCCAGGCGCUCCCUGGCGCUCACCCCUGGGUGCCCCGGCGUCGCCUCAGGGCUCGCUCGCUCCCAAAACGGCAGCCCUUGACCGCCGCGACUCGCCAGCUCUUCAAACCCAGUGGAUUUUCAGAUGUCAAGGAGAUCUGUGGUAAUUCAGUGACCACCAGGGGGCAUCAGGAUCUCUGGGUGUCCUGAAUAACCAAGCCUGCACUGAAUAAGGAUGAGGCGCCCUCCUUGAGAAGUCUACGAAAGAACCCGCUUCAGAAAUGAAAAUAACCGAAGAGACUUUGCAGUAAAGGUUAGUGUGAAGAUUAAAGGAAGGUUUUAAAAAAAUAGUAUGUAAUUGAUACAGAUUUGGGUCCUUGGACUCUAUUUAAUCAAU
rnacentral:lncRNA from 1 species